rnacentral:rRNA from 1 species
UCAAAACAUCGCCUCUUGCACCAUAUAAGAGGUCAAGCCGGCCCAGUGACAUAAGUUUAACGGCCGCGGUAUCCUGACCGUGCGAAGGUAGCAUAAUCACUUGUUCUUUAAAUGAGGACUAGUAUCAACGGCGCCACGAGGGCCAUACUGUCUCCUUUCCCUAAUCAAUGAAACUAAUCUCCCCGUGAAGAAGCGGGGAUAAAAAUAUAAGACGAGAAGACCCCAUGGAGCUUUAAAUUCAAUAGGCAAUCUUACGCAAAUCAACCAAUACAGCCUUAGAUCCUGCCUAUUAAUUUUAGGUUGGGGUGACCGCGGAGCACAAUUAAACCUCCACAACGAACAAGACACUGACCUUAUCCAAGAGCCACAACUCCAAGAAUCAAAAAAUUGACGUAAAAUGACCCGACACUCGAUUAAUGAAACAAGUUACCCUGGGGAUAACAGCGCAAUCUACUUCAAGAGCCCAUAUCAACAAGUAGGCUUACGACCUCGAUGUUGGAUCAGGAUAUCCCAGUGGUGCAGCCGCUACUAAAGGUUCGUUUGUUCCACGAUUAAAAUCCUACGUGAUCUGAGUU